rnacentral:rRNA from 1 species
CCUCGGGGGGCUGCAGUGGGGAAUAUUGGACAAUGGGCGAAAGCCUGAUCCAGCCAUGCCGCGUGUGUGAAGAAGGCCUUCGGGUUGUAAAGCACUUUCAGUGGGGAAGAAAGCCUUGGGGCUAAUACCCUCGAGGAAGGACAUCACCCACAGAAGAAGCACCGGCUAACUCCGUGCCAGCAGCCGCGGUAAUACGGAGGGUGCGAGCGUUAAUCGGAAUUACUGGGCGUAAAGCGCGCGUAGGCGGUCUGAUAAGCCGGUUGUGAAAGCCCCGGGCUCAACCUGGGAACGGCAUCCGGAACUGUCAGGCUAGAGUGCAGGAGAGGAAGGUAGAAUUCCCGGUGUAGCGGUGAAAUGCGUAGAGAUCGGGAGGAAUACCAGUGGCGAAGGCGGCCUUCUGGACUGACACUGACGCUGAGGUGCGAAAGCGUGGGUAGCAAACAGGAUUAGAUACCCGUGUAGUC